UACGGAGGGGGCUAGCGUUGUUCGGAAUUACUGGGCGUAAAGCGCACGUAGGCGGCUUUGUAAGUUAGAGGUGAAAGCCCAGGGCUUAACCCUGGAAUUGCCUUUAAGACUGCAUCGCUAGAAUCGUGGAGAGGUGAAUGGAAUUCCGAGUGUAGAGGUGAAAUUCGUAGAUAUUCGGAAGAACACCAGUGGCGAAGGCGACUCACUGGACACGUAUUGACGCUGAGGUGCGAAAGCGUGGGGAGCAAACAGG
rnacentral:rRNA from 1 species